AAAACCCCAAGCCGGUUUGGACAUAGGCAAGGACGACCUUCUAAAAGAGACAGAUUUCUUCCCUUCGGGGACCUGCACACAGGUGCUGCAUGGCUGUCGUCAGCUCGUGUCGUGAGAUGUUGGGUUAAGUCCCGCAACGAGCGCAACCCUCGACCUUAGUUGCCAUCAUUUAGUUGGGCACUUUAAGGUAACCGCCGGUGAUAAGCCGGAGGAAGGUGGGGAUGACGUCAAGUCCUCAUGGCCCUUACGCGCUGGGCUACACACGUGCUACAAUGGCGGUGACAGUGGGCAGCAAGCACGCGAGUGUGAGCUAAUCUCCAAAAGCCGUCUCAGUUCGGAUUGUUCUCUGCAACUCGAGAGCAUGAAGGCGGAAUCGCUAGUAAUCGCGGAUCAGCAUGCCGCGGUGAAUACGUUCCCAGGCCUUGUACACACCGCCCGUCACACCAUGGGAGUUGGAUUCACCCGAAGGCGUUGCGCUAACUCAGCAAUGAGAGGCAGGCGACCACGGUGGGUUUAGCGACUGGGGUGAAGUCGUAACAAGGUAACCAAAA
rnacentral:rRNA from 1 species